AAGCGGUGGAGCAUGUGGUUUAAUUCGAUGAUACGCGAGGAACCUUACCUGGGCUCAAAUGUAUGUUGACGUAUUCUGAAAGGGAUACUUCUUCGGACAAUAUACAAGGUGCUGCAUGGUUGUCGUCAGCUCGUGCCGUGAGGUGUCGGGUUAAGUCCCAUAACGAGCGCAACCCUAUCAUUAGUUGCCAUCAGGUCAAGCUGGGGACUCUAAUGAAACUGCCUACGCAAGUAGUGAGGAAGGUGGGGAUGACGUCAAAUCAGCACGGCCCUUACGUCCAGGGCUACACACGUGCUACAAUGGCCGGUACAAAGGGCAGCUACCUGGUGACAGGAUGCUAAUCUCAAAAGCCGGUCUCAGUUCGGAUCGGAGUCUGCAACCCGACUCCGUGAAGCUGGAAUCGCUAGUAGUCGCGCAUCAGCCAUGGCGCGGUGAAUACGUUCCCGGGCCUU
rnacentral:rRNA from 1 species